rnacentral:lncRNA from 1 species
UGGAGAUAGACUUUGAUGAGGAACUUCGAGGAAUGAGAGUGAUGGUCACUGACGAGGCUUUUGCGUUUUCUAAGAGAGCGAAGAGCUGUUGAAGACUAUGGCCUCCGCAACCGAGGAAGUGUCUGCGAAUUGAUGGAACUGACCAUGCCCAUUGGAACCAAAACCAUCACUCAAGCAGCCAACACCCCCAAUUGCAUUGAUCCGAUCAUAUCCACUCCUUCCGCUUUAGAUGGCUGCUCAUGGUUCAAGUUGGGAGGGCAAGGCUUGUUAGCCUCAAGCAUCGGCUUU